rnacentral:rRNA from 1 species
UACGAAGGGGGCGAGCGUUGUUCGGAUUUACUGGGCGUAAAGGGCGCGCAGGCGGCUCAUUUUGUCAGGCGUGAAAGCCCCGGGCUUAACCUGGGAACUGCGUUUGAUACGGAUGGGCUAGAGUUCGGGAGAGGAGAGUGGAAUUCCCAGUGUAGAGGUGAAAUUCGUAGAUAUUGGGAAGAACGCCGGUGGCGAAGGCGGCUCUCUGGACCGAGACUGACGCUGAGGCGCGAAAGCGUGGGGAGCAAACAGG